GACGAACGCUAGCUACAGGCUUAACACAUGCAAGUCGAGGGGAAACGACAUCGAAAGCUUGCUUUUGAUGGGGGCCGACCGGCGCACGGGAGAGUAACGCGUAUCCAUCCUGCCUAUCACUUGGGAAUAACCCUGCGAAAGUAAGACUAAUACCCAAUCAUAUCCCUCGAAGGGAUCGGAAUGGGAUUAAUGAUUUAUCGGUGCUGGAUGGGGAUGCGUCUGAUUAGCUUGUUGUCGGGGUAACGGCCUACCAAGGCAACGAUCAGUAGGUGUUCUGAGAGGAAGCUCCCCCACAUUGGAACUUAGACACUGACCAAACUCCUACGGGACGCAGCAGUGAGGGACAUUGUUCAAUGGGCGAGAGCCUGAACCAACCAAGUAGCAUGCAGCAAGACUGCCCGAUGGGUGGUAGCCUUCUAUUAUGAGUUAAUAAAGUGCGUCGCCUGUGACUUUGUGCCUGUACCUGAUAAAGAAGGACCGGCUAACUCCGUG
rnacentral:rRNA from 1 species